rnacentral:rRNA from 1 species
GAUGAACGCUGGCGGCGUGCCUAAUACAUGCAAGUCGAGCGAACAGACGAGGAGCUUGCUCCUCUGACGUUAGCGGCGGACGGGUGAGUAACACGUGGAUAACCUACCUAUAAGACUGGGAUAACUUCGGGAAACCGGAGCUAAUACCGGAUAAUAUAUUGAACCGCAUGGUUCAAUAGUGAAAGACGGUUUUGCUGUCACUUAUAGAUGGAUCCGCGCCGCAUUAGCUAGUUGGUAAGGUAACGGCUUACCAAGGCGACGAUGCGUAGCCGACCUGAGAGGGUGAUCGGCCACACUGGAACUGAGACACGGUCCAGACUCCUACGGGAGGCAGCAGUAGGGAAUCUUCCGCAAUGGGCGAAAGCCUGACGGAGCAACGCCGCGUGAGUGAUGAAGGUCUUCGGAUCGUAAAACUCUGUUAUAAGGGAAGAACAAAUGUGUAAGUAACUAUGCACGUCUUGACGGUACCUAAUCAGAAAGCCACGGCUAACUACGUG